rnacentral:lncRNA from 13 species
UCCAAAUUUGCUUCUAGGGGCUUAAAGUAAUUUAUUUUGCUUAUUUUUAAAAAUCUAUGUAGACUGAUUCUGAUGGAGUUUCAAAUGGCAAUAAAGUCUCAAUUAGAUAAUAGAUCUUAGAUAGACAGCUUAACAGACGAGGCAAGACGUGGGAGACAUGUAGGACAUGCAAAAGAGAAGACAAGGAUGCAAUGAUCAAAACCAGGAACAAGUGGGCAAAAGAGGGCUAGUCACUUUUUGUUUGAUGAGGGUCAACAUUUGAAAAUCAUGAGAUCAUAUGAUUAUUAACAAGAAUGCAGUCAGCUUUGUUUACCUAAGAAUUUAGUCAUAUUCAGCUAUAAUUUUGUUAAAGAAAAUAAAUUACACUACAGUCACCUAUUUUAGGAAACUGAAACAUAGUAAGGAAGAGCAGAUAAAAGGUAAGUGAAAGAGGUAGAGCUGUGAUUACCAGUAUGUGUAGGACAUGUUACCAAUGACAACAAAUGAGAGUGUUGACACUGGAAAGCUCCCCAGUUUGGGCAUAACUUACUUCAGUUAAAACUUGGAUAGAUUCGGCCGGGCGUGGUGGCUCACGCCUGUAAUCCCAACACUUUGGGAGGCCGAGGCGGGUGGAUCACGAGGUCAAGAGAUUGAGAUCAUCCUGGUCAACAUGGUGAAACCCCUUCUCUACUAAAAAAAAAAAAUUAGCUGGGCAUGGUGGCAUGUGCCUGUAAUCCCAGCUACUCAGGAGGCUGAGGUAGGAGAAUUGCCUGAACCCAGGAGGCGGAGGUUGCGGUGAGCCGAGAUCGCGCCAUUGCACUCCAGCCUGGGUGAAAAGACGGAAACUCCCGUCUCAAAAAAAAAAAAAAAAAAAAAAAAACUUGGAUAGAUUCUUAUCUUCGAAAUUUUACAGUUAUCCAGAUAUUACCAGCUUGUUAAUAGAAAUGGAUGAAGACAGAGAUGAAAAAGAAGGAGAGAGGGAAGAGACAGAGGAGAAAAAGAAGGAGAAGAGGAGUAAAGAGAGAGAAACAGAGAAGAGAAACAGAGGGAAAGGCAGUGGGAGAUGUCAAACAUGCAGGAUAAGGUGAAAUAAAGAAGUAGCCAAAUAGAUUUGAAGACA